ensembl:rRNA 5S_rRNA 5S ribosomal RNA
GCUACGGCCAUACCACCCUGAGCGCGCCCGAUCUCGUCUGAUCUCGGAAGCUAAGCAGGGUCGGGCCUGGUUAGUACUUGGAUGGGAGACCGCCUGGGAAUACCAGGUGCUGUAAGCU